AGGAUGAACGCUGGCGGCGUGCCUAAAACAUGCAAGUCAUACGGGCUACCUUCGGGUAGCCAGUGGCAAACGGGUGAGUAACACGUGGGAACGCGCCUCGGGGUGGGGAAUAACGCUGAGAAAUCAGUGCUAAUACCGCAUAUGGUCUAACGACUAAAGCAGCAAUGCGCCCGGAGAGCGGCCCGCGACCGAUUAGCUAGUUGGUGGGGUAAUGGCCUACCAAGGCGGUGAUCGGUAGCUGGUCUGAGAGGAUGACCAGCCAGACUGGGACUGAGAACGGCCCAGACUCCUACGGGAGGCAGCAGUAGGGAAUUUUCCACAAU
rnacentral:rRNA from 1 species